UUUAUGGAGAGUUUGAUCCUGGCUCAGGAUGAACGCUGGCGGCGUGCCUAAUACAUGCAAGUCGAGCGAACAGAUAAGGAGCUUGCUCCUUUGACGUUAGCGGCGGACGGGUGAGUAACACGUGGGUAACCUACCUAUAAGACUGGAAUAACUCCGGGAAACCGGGGCUAAUGCCGGAUAACAUGUUGAACCGCAUGGUUCUACAGUGAAAGACGGUCUUGCUGUCACUUAUAGAUGGACCCGCGCCGUAUUAGCUAGUUGGUGGGGUAACGGCCUACCAAGGCGACGAUACGUAGCCGACCUGAGAGGGUGAUCGGCCACACUGGAACUGAGACACGGUCCAGACUCCUACGGGAGGCAGCAGUAGGGAAUCUUCCGCAAUGGGCGAAAGCCUGACGGAGCAACGCCGCGUGAGUGAUGAAGGUCUUCGGAUCGUAAAGCUCUGUUGUUAGGGAAGAACAAAUGUGUAAGUAACUGUGCACAUCUUGACGGUACCUAACCAGAAAGCCACGGCUAACUACGUGCCAGCAGCCGCGGUAAUACGUAGGUGGCAAGCGUUAUCCGGAAUUAUUGGGCGUAAAGCGCGCGUAGGCGGUUUUUUAAGUCUGAUGUGAAAGCCCACGGCUCAACCGUGGAGGGUCAUUGGAAACUGGAAAACUUGAGUGCAGAAGAGGAAAGUGGAAUUCCAUGUGUAGCGGUGAAAUGCGCAGAGAUAUGGAGGAACACCAGUGGCGAAGGCGGCUUUCUGGUCUGCAACUGACGCUGAUGUGCGAAAGCGUGGGGAUCAAACAGGAUUAGAUACCCUGGUAGUCCACGCCGUAAACGAUGAGUGCUAAGUGUUAGGGGGUUUCCGCCCCUUAGUGCUGCAGCUAACGCAUUAAGCACUCCGCCUGGGGAGUACGGUCGCAAGACUGAAACUCAAAGGAAUUGACGGGGACCCGCACAAGCGGUGGAGCAUGUGGUUUAAUUCGAAGCAACGCGAAGAACCUUACCAAAUCUUGACAUCCUUUGACCGCUCUAGAGAUAGAGUUUUCCUCUUCGGAGGACAAAGUGACAGGUGGUGCAUGGUUGUCGUCAGCUCGUGUCGUGAGAUGUUGGGUUAAGUCCCGCAACGAGCGCAACCCUUGAACUUAGUUGCCAUC
rnacentral:rRNA from 1 species